rnacentral:rRNA from 1 species
CCUACGGGAGGCAGCAGUGGGGAAUUUUGGACAAUGGGCGCAAGCCUGAUCCAGCAAUGCCGCGUGAGUGAAGAAGGCCUUCGGGUUGUAAAGCUCUUUUGUCAGGGAAGAAACGGUCUACUCUAAUACAGUGGGCUAAUGACGGUACCUGAAGAAUAAGCACCGGCUAACUACGUGCCAGCAGCCGCGGUAAUACGUAGGGUGCAAGCGUUAAUCGGAAUUACUGGGCGUAAAGCGUGCGCAGGCGGUUAUAUAAGUCAGAUGUGAAAUCCCCGGGCUCAACCUGGGAACUGCAUUUGAGACUGUAUGGCUAGAGUGUGUCAGAGGGGGGUAGAAUUCCACGUGUAGCAGUGAAAUGCGUAGAUAUGUGGAGGAAUACCGAUGGCGAAGGCAGCCCCCUGGGAUAACACUGACGCUCAUGCACGAAAGCGUGGGGAGCAAACAGGAUUAGAUACCCUGGUAGUCCACGCCCUAAACGAUGUCUACUAGUUGUCGGGACUUAAUUGUCUUGGUAACGCAGCUAACGCGUGAAGUAGACCGCCUGGGGAGUACGGUCGCAAGAUUAAAACNCAAAAGGAAUUGACGG